AUAAAUCAAAAGAGAUGUUGCUGAUUAAAGACCAAAAUUGCAACUUCUUUCCAUCACUUGCCUACAAAUCAGCCUCAUUUUUAGAGGAGGCGCUUGUGGCACUGAGAAAUGACUGAUUUCCUGGAUAAAUAAAUCCCUGAGGAGCUACUGUCAUCAAACUACACCAUGAGGAGGGGUGCAGCCACCAUCCGAAAGACUUACAAGCAGGUGCAAACCAGAGUUCCUGAAACCGUGAAAGUUAAAUCUCCUCAAGAAGCCCAAGCAGAGCCCGGAGCACAGGACACCUACACGUCGUGGACUUUGGCUCUGUCCAUUCGGGCUCAGCUCCGACGGAUCCUCCAGCAGAGCCUUCACCAGCCAAGAGCUCCUGCCACACGACAACUCCAUCUCCACCCUGCUUCUCAGAUCCGGCCCGGCCCAGGGGCGCCCUUCUCCCUGUCUGCGAAAACUGGCUCCGUCUCCAACAUACCCAUGCCGGGCGAACCUGCGCUAGUCCGUCCCAUACGUCCUAGUGUUGAAACACGAAGGAAGUCACACUCUCGUGCUUGACUUUUCUCCCCUAAAAACAGGGGUAAUGAUAAAGACUAAUGUCUAGCUUUUAGAGCUGUUCCGAGGUUGAAGGAAAAGAAGGCAUGAAAAUGGUAAGGCACACAAUUUAAAAACAGAGAAGUAAACAUUUAGCUAUUGUUACUAUUCACACCUUCCAAGUGUCCUUUUGUUUUUGUUUUUGUUUUUUGCUUUUCAAGGCCACACCUGCAGCAUAUGGAAGUUCCUAGGCAAGGGGUCGUCAAGUCAGAGCUACUGUUACCAGCCUACGCCACAGGCACAGCAAUGCAGGAUCCGAGCCAUGUCUGCAACCUACACCAUAGCCCACGACAACACCAGAUCCUUAACCCCCUGAAUGAGGCCAGGGAUCGAACCUGCAGCCUCAUGGAUACUAGUCAGAUUCAUAGCUCACUAAGCCACAGAGGGAACUCCCUGAUGCCGUCUCUUUUUAAUUGUUGCUGAUUCCAACAGAAUCUUAACUGUCAUCGCCUCACGUCUG
rnacentral:lncRNA from 9 species